UGGAGAACAGGUGAGUAACACAGCGACUGUAUGCCAGAAGAAAUACAUGAAGGUUAGCAAUGAGCAACACCUGAGGAAAAAGACAAGAGCAGAGGGUGAAAGAGAAACAAGCAGCAGCAGGACAGAGAGAUAAAGGGAAGGAUAUAUGAGAAGGAAAAAACAAAACAAAAAGAAUAAUGAACUACAGUAAUCUAAUCUACCAAAAAAGGCAGGAACAACAAAUCAUCAACAGGGAAGGAUUUUUUUGUAUUUUAACAACACUGUAUCUACACAAUCCAAACGAUAGAAGCAAAUAUUGAUGUAAAACAAAUGUCAGCUCAAAAAUCAUUAAUGAGGGACUUGUUAAACUGUACUUGUCCUUCAUCUGACACAGUGUAUAAAAUAUUAUCAAAACCCCGUAACUGAAUAAAACCCUUCAUUUUUCCGUGUGGCCCUGUGGAAAUGAAACUCCAGCUUUAUUCUGGCUUUAAUGUUGCGCUUCCAAAGAGCCACGGCAUCAAGGCUCCUGCCAGGGAUCCCGAUGAGGAGGGCAUUGCAGUAAUCCAUCCUGGAAUAGAUAAAAGCACGGAUCAACUUCUCAGCAUCAGGGCACAACCAGCAGUUACUCAAACAGAACUUCCUACCUGAUCUGUGGAGCCACUCCCACCAUGGACCUCCUGAGGGCUCCGUUGAUUGAUGAUUGCUCCUGUUCUCUCUGUUCUCAAACAAACCUCUGAGGCUGAAUCACACAAAGGUGAGUUUGAUUUACUAAUCAGGGUUGGCCAGUUGGUUGCUCUAUCGCAGGUGUCUACAACUUUAAAAUCCAAAGAGCCAUCUUACUAAGAGUCCAGCAAAAUAAAAGUCAUGUAGGUAAUUCAUUAAACACUUCCUGUACUUUGGUUGAAUAUAUGCUCUAGGUCAUCUGCUGCAGUUUUA